UGAACUGUCUAGAGAGACUUGGUGGAGGAGGCCACGGCCCGUCUUGUCCCUGCCGGGUCCUGGCCAGGUGUGUGUGCCCCAGCUCGACUCUCGGUGGUCUCCAGGCUGCAGCAGAAGGAAUACCUUGGAAUUGGAUGCCGGCUGGCCCCCCGAUGGUUCCUGGCCUAGGGGCUGUCAUGGCAGAGGGAAGCCACCAAGGGCCCUGUGCUAAUCACGAGUCUUUCCUGUUCAGAGCAGUGAGGCCUGAGACCCUCAACGGUGCUGUGUGUACAGAAGGCCCCCAGAAUCCACAGAAAGGGCCCGCCUGAAACCUAGAGCAUUUGUGAAGGAGGAGAAUGGAAGGAACAACUGGAUGUUGUAAAUGUUUCUCAUCUGGCCUUAAAAUCCAUGAAAGCUGGAAAAUGCCAAGGCAUCUGUGCACAUACUGGUGGAUUUUAAUGAGAGUCCUGUGUUUGGAGCACCAGAAAUAAACCAGCUUCAGAAGCAAAGUUAACAGGAGGAGGAAGCAGAGCUAGAGCUGGAAGGAGACCCAGCCAGCCCGGGCUCCAGUGACAUCAGCCGGUACACGCUCUUGUUUGCUUACGCUUGUUGAACUGAGUUUUUCAUAUGUAACUAACCAAUACUGGCACAUGUGAGACUGGGCAUGAUUCAGAAAAGCUGGAAGAUCUAGAGAGGGAUCUUGCAAUCUGAAGUUUGUUUAGUCACUGGAGGAUUUGAACGUCUAUGACACUCUUCCGAGCUGACACAGUGAAGAACAUG
rnacentral:sRNA from 1 species